AUUGAACGCUGGCGGCAUGCCUAACACAUGCAAGUCGAACGGUAACGCGGGGGCAACCCUGGCGACGAGUGGCGGACGGGUGAGUAAUACGUAGGAAUCUGCCUUUUAGUGGGGGAUAACCCGGAGAAAUCCGGGCUAAUACCGCAUAAGCACUACGGUGGAAAGCAGGGGAUCGCAAGACCUUGCGCUGAUAGAUGAGCCUACGUCGGAUUAGCUUGUUGGUAGGGUAACGGCCUACCAAGGCGACGAUCCGUAGCUGGUCUGAGAGGACGACCAGCCACACUGGGACUGAGACACGGCCCAGACUCCUACGGGAGGCAGCAGUGGGGAAUAUUGGACAAUGGGCGAAAGCCUGAUCCAGCAAUGCCGCGUGUGUGAAGAAGGCCUGG
rnacentral:rRNA from 1 species